AAUAGGAAGCCUUUGUUUCCGGGCAAAGAUCAUGUGCAUCAGAUGCGCCUAUUGACAGAGGUAAGAUGAAUUACAGACAAGUAUAAAUAAAAGUUGAAUUUGACAUGACCGGACUUUGAUUGUGUUAUUUAAGAAUCCCCGGUUUAGAAGAAAUGAAAUGUGACUGUCCCUUAAAGUUCUCAUUCUACAUUUGUAAUAAAGAAGUGCUGUGCCCAAACUAGAGCGGCUGCUGCGCAUACAUAAAGUACAUAGCAAUAAAACCCAUGAUGUUACACUACUGAAUACUUCGUUGGAAUCCCUACGUAUCUGUACUAGUUAGUUGUGUUCUAAAUUAUUUAGCUAUUUUUGGAAAGCAAUAUCUGCUGGAUGAAUACUAAUACAUACUUUUUAUUUUGUGUUAUAG
rnacentral:lncRNA from 1 species